rnacentral:rRNA from 1 species
GACGAACGCUGGCGGCGUGGAUUAGGCAUGCAAGUCGAACGGUAUCAUCCUUUCGGGGGUGAGAGAGUGGCGAACUGGUGAGUAACACGUAGGUUAUCUACCCUCAAGACGGGGACAACCCAGGGAAACUUGGGCUAAUACCGGAUGUGAGCAACUUUUAGUUGUUUGAAAGGUGGCGUAAGCUGUCGCUUGGGGAUGAGCCUGCGUCCUAUUGGUUAGUUGGUGAGGUAACGGCUCACCUAGGCAAUGAUAGGUAGGCGGCCUUAACGGGUGGUCGCCCACACUGGGAUUGAGAUACGGCCCAGACUCCUACGGGAGGCAGCAGUCGAGAAUAGUCUACAAUGGUCGGAAGACUGAUAGUGCGACGCCGCGUGAACGAUGAAUCCCUUCGGGGUGUAAAGUUCUUUUAUAUGUGAGCAGUGCUUCUUAUAUUAACAGUAUGGGGAGAGAGAUAUUAGCAUAUGAAUAAGCAACGGCUAACUCCGUG